AUGGCAUCGUCGGUGCUGGAGGCCACGCGGGCGGCGCACGAGGACAUCGAGCGGUUAGACCGCCUGGCGGUGCUCGAGCUGCAGCGAGAUCCCGCCAAUGCCCGCGACCGCCUCUUCCAGUCCCACCGCGUCCGCCACAUGCUCGACCUCGUCAUCUCCACUUCCGACAAGCUCGUUGAAAUCUAUGAAGACAAGGACUGUGCUAGGAAGGAUGAGAUCUCCACCCAUCUUACCGCCCCGGUGCAAAGCGAUAUCUUCCCCAAGUACUAUGAAAGGCUCAAAGAGAUCCGUGAUUAUCAUAGGCGGAAUCACUCUGCCCGUUUCAUCAGUGAAACUGACGAUUAUGAGGAGCUACUAAAGGAGGAACCGGCUAUUGAAUUCACUGGCGAGGAGGCAUUUGGCCGGUACUUGGACUUACAUGAGCUCUACAAUGAGUUCAUAAAUUCCAAGUUUAGAUCGCUAAUGGAAUACUCAGCAUACGUUGGCACUUUUGCUCAGACUGAAAAAAUCUCGCAUAGUCUAAAAGCUACCAGGCAAUACAAAGAAUAUUUGGAGCAUAUUUUGGAAUACCUGACGUCAUUUAUGUAUCGUACAGAGCCAUUGCAAGAUAUUGAGAAGAUUUUUACAAAGUUGCAAAGUGAGUUCGAAGAACAGUGGGCCAAUGGCGAAGUACCUGGAUGGGAGAAUAAGGUAGACCUCGAUUACUACAAUACUGUUGAAGAGAUUGUAGAGCUUGGUCCGGAAAAGUUGAAAGAGGCUUUAACUGCUCGUGGAUUGAAGGGUGGCGGCACUGUUCAACAGCGCGCUGAGCGCCUUUUCUUGCUGAAUUUUCAGCAUAGACCCUUGGAACAAUUGGAUCGUAAGCAUUUUGCCAAAGGUGAUGAUUUGAAGAAGGAAAUUGCUCUGGUUGAAGCGAAGAUGAAGCGCUUAUGUGAGAUUCUCGAUGAGGAAGAAGUACAAGCUGAUAGUGAAAGUGAUGACGAAGACCAACAAAUCUACAACCCUCUCAAGUUACCAAUGGGUUGGGACGGGAAACCUAUCCCCUAUUGGCUCUAUAAGCUUCACGGUCUUGGUCAGGAAUUCAAGUGCGAGAUAUGUGGUAACCACAGUUACUGGGGGCGAAGGGAUUAUGAGCGCCAUUUCAAGGAGUGGCGCCAUCAGCAUGGGAUGCGAUGCCUUGGUAUUCCUAAUACCAAGAACUUCAACGAAAUUACAUCCAUUGAGGAGGCGAAAGCACUGUGGGAGAGGAUACAAGCAAAGCAAGGGCUGAACAAGUGGCGGCCAGACUUGGAAGAGGAGUACGAAGACAAGGAUGGCAACAUCUACAACAAAAAGACGUACACUGACCUGCAGCGCCAAGGCCUGAUAUAG
rnacentral:rRNA from 1 species